UACGUAGGGUGCGAGCGUUGUCCGGAGUUACUGGGCGUAAAGCGCGCGCAGGCGGUCUGGUGCAUCUCUGGUGAAAGCCCCGGGCUUAACCCGGGAGGGUCCAGGGAGAUGACCAGACUGGAGGCAGGGCGAGGGCGGUGGAAUUCCGGGUGUAGUGGUGAAAUGCGUAGAGAUCCGGAGGAACACCAGUGGCGAAGGCGGCCGCCUGGACCUGUCCUGACGCUGAGGCGCGAAGGCGUGGGGAGCGAACGGG
rnacentral:rRNA from 1 species